rfam:Gossypium arboreum cultivar AKA8401 contig_113216_1, whole genome shotgun sequence.
AAACCAUAGUGAGGGCACCUUCUCCAAAGAUCUUUGUAUCUCUCCCAUGCACCAUAAAGUGUUUCUAGAUCCAUCUGUACAAAAAGAAGAGAUGUCAUUCCUCAACUU